AAACCAUGGUAAGGGAACCUUCUCAAAAGAUCCUUGUAUCUCUCCCAUGCAUCAUAGAGUGUUUCUAGAUUCAUCUACAUAAAAGAAGACAUGUCAUUCCUAAACUU
rnacentral:snoRNA from 1 species